rnacentral:tRNA from 1 species
CAGAGCGUAGCUAAACCAGAUAUAAGCGUCUCCCUUACACUGAGAAGGUCUCCGUGCAAAUCGGAUCGCCCUGA